AUUGAACGCUGGCGGCAUGCUUUACACAUGCAAGUCGAACGGUAACAGGGUGCUUGCACCGCUGACGAGUGGCGAACGGGUGAGUAAUGCGUCGGAACGUGCCGAGUAGUGGGGGAUAACGCAGCGAAAGUUGUGCUAAUACCGCAUACGUACUGAGGUAGAAAGUGGGGGACCUUCGGGCCUCACGCUAUUCGAGCGGCCGACGUCUGAUUAGCUAGUAGGUGAGGUAAAGGCUCACCUAGGCGACGAUCAGUAGCGGGUCUGAGAGGAUGAUCCGCCACACUGGGACUGAGAAACGGCCCAGACUCCUACGGGAGGCAGCAGUGGGGAAUUUUGGACAAUGGGCGAAAGCCUGAUCCAGCCAUGCCGCGUGUCUGAAGAAGGCCUUCGGGUUGUAAAGGACUUUUGUCGGGGAGGAAAUCCCCAGCGCUAAUACCGCUGGGGGAUGACAGUACCUGAAGAAUAAGCACCGGCUAACUCCGUGCCAGCAGCCGCAGUAACAC
rnacentral:rRNA from 1 species